rnacentral:rRNA from 1 species
CGCCUGUUUAACAAAAACAUAGUCUAAAGAAAAGAAUUUUAGAUAAGUUCUGCUCAAUGACAAAUUUAAAUAGCUGCAGUAAAUUAACUGUACUAAGGUAGCAUAAUAAGUUGCUUUAUAAUUAGAAGCUUGAAUGAAAGAAACAAUGUGAAACAAACUUUUUAAAUUAAAACAGUAAAAAUUAAUAUUUAAGUGAAAAAUCUUAAAUUAAACCAAAAGACAAGAAGACCCUUUAGAACUUUAUAAGUUAAAUUAUGCUAAUUAGAUUGACUUAUUAAGUUGGGGAGAUUUUUAAAUAAAUAAAUCUUUAAAUAUAGUAAGAUGAAUUACUUCAAGUUAAAUUAUCCAAAUAAGAAUUAAAACAAGUUACCUAAGGGAUAACAGCGCAAAAUUUUUGAGAAGCUCUUAUUCACAAGAUAAAUUGCGACCUCGAUGUUGGAUUAAGAAUAACUUGUAAAGAAAAAUUUAUAAGGAUUGGUCUGUUCGCCCAAAUAACUCUUACAUGAUCUGAGUUCAAACCGG